GAUGAAGAACGAAGCGAAAUGCGAUAAGUAGUGUGAAUUGCAGAAUUCAGUGAAUCAUCGAAUCUUUGAACGCACAUUGCGCCCUUUGGUAUUCCUUAGGGCAUGCCUGUUCGAGCGUCAUUUAAACCUUCAAGCUCAGCUUGGUGUUGGGUGACUGUCCGCUUCACCGCGGACUCGCCUCAAAAUUAUUGGCGGCCGGUACAUUGGCUUCGAGCGCAGCAGAAACGCGAACUCGGGCCCGUCGUAUUGGCUCCCAGAAGCUAUCUUCACAAUUUUGACCUCGGAUCAGGUAGGGAUACCCGCUGAACUUAAGCAUAUCAAUAAGCGGAGGA
rnacentral:misc_RNA from 1 species